UAAAUAAAGGUUUUGGAUAAAAAUAUCUCGAAUUGGGGAGGGCUAGGAAGGUAUAAAUUUUACUGUUAAAUAAUUAUUUAUAAUACUUUUCUUGUGAUUAUACGUUAGUCGUUCUUUAAUAUAUCUAGUUUUUUUAGAAAUUAAUUUAAUUGAGCUGAUUUGUAAUUUAUUUUUUUAUGAAAUUUAUUUUGAGGUCAAGUAAUACUAAGAGGGAUAAGCUUUUUAGUAAAUUACUAAAAUAUUAAUUUGUUUUGAUUUGUAAUAGGAAUAGAAGUUUUCAUUUUUUAUAGUGAGUUGUUUCAAGAAUUUGAUUGAGAUGAUUUGUUUAGAUUUAGGUUUUUUAUAAGAAUAGGGAAUUUAAUUUUGAAUUUUGUGGGAUAAUGAUUGAAUUAGUAUAUUGAAAUGUUUAUUAUGGAUUUAUGGUUGAGAGAUUUAAUUAAGGAAUUCGGCAAAUAUAUUUCUUGCCUGUUUAUUAAAAACAUGGCCUUUUGAUAAUGAUUUAAGGUCUGGCCUGCCCAAUGAGGUGUUAAAUGGCCGCGGUAUUCUGACCGUGCAAAGGUAGCAUAAUCAUUAGUUUUUUAAUUGAAAGCUAGUAUGAACGGUCGGACAAGGAAGUAGCUGUCUUUAUUUGAAGAGUAGAAUUUAAUUUUUUAGUAAGAAAGCUAAAAUAGGUUUAAGGGACGAGAAGACCCUAUAGAAUUUUAUAAGUUAUAUAUAAAUUGAUUUUAGGAUUAUUUAUUUGACUUGUGUAUUACUUAUUUUGUUGGGGUGAUGGAAAAAUUUAUACAACUUUUUUUAGUUUAUGUUUACUGAUUUGUAAUUUGUUGAUCCAUAUUUAGUGAUUAUAAGAUUAAAUUACCUUAGGGAUAACAGCGUAAUUGAUUUGGAGAGUUCUUAUCGAUAGAUUAGUUUGCGACCUCGAUGUUGGAUUAAAAUGAACUUUUGGUGUAGGAGCUAUUAGGUUAAGUCUGUUCGACUUUUAAAAUUUU
rnacentral:rRNA from 1 species